AAUUUGUAACUGUGGUAACGUGUGACGACGAUACAAGUCCGUGGAGAAAGGAGGCCCCUGGUGGUGGUUGUUUAUAAGAAACCCCGUAGUGAAUCUCUUUUCGUUUAAUGCAACAUAAAUCCAAAAUGGCAGGAGCUGAUGGAGACGAUUCUCUCUACCCCAUCGCGGUUCUCAUUGACGAGCUUCGUAAUGAGGAUGUGCAGUUGCGACUGAACAGUAUCAAAAAGCUGUCUACCAUCGCAUUGGCCCUUGGAGUGGAGAGGACCCGCACUGAACUCCUCCCCUUCCUCACAGACACCAUCUAUGAUGAGGAUGAGGUGCUUCUUGCCUUGGCUGAGCAGCUGGGCAACUUCACCAUGCUGGUGGGAGGCCCUGAAUAUGUUCACUGUCUUCUGCCGCCGCUGGAGAGCCUGGCUACCGUGGAGGAAACGGUGGUGCGAGACAAGGCUGUGGAGUCUCUGCGUAAGAUCUCCCAGGAGCACUCUCCUGUGGACCUGGAGGUGCACUUUGAGCCCCUGGUGAAGAGGCUGGCCAGUGGUGACUGGUUCACCUCCCGCACCUCUGCCUGUGGCCUGUUCAGCGUCUGCUACCCCCGCGUGUCCAGCACCGUCAAGGCUGAAAUUCGCCAGCAUUUCCGCACUCUGUGCUCAGAUGACACUCCCAUGGUACGUCGCGCCGCAGCCUCCAAGCUUGGGGAAUUCGCCAAGGUUCUGGAGCUGGACUAUGUCAAGAGUGACAUCAUCUCCCUCUUCACUGCACUGGCCUCCGAUGAGCAGGACUCAGUGCGCCUGCUGGCUGUGGAAGCCUGUGUGAGCAUCGCCACACUGCUGCCCCAGGAGGACCUGGAGACGCUGGUGAUGCCCACCCUGCGCCAGGCCGCUGAGGACAAGUCCUGGAGGGUCCGCUACAUGGUGGCUGACAAGUUCUCUGAGCUCCAGAAAGCGGUGGGCCCAGAGAUCACCAAGAACGACCUGGUCCCAGCCUUCCAGAAUCUGCUAAAGGACUGCGAGGCUGAGGUCCGAGCUGCCGCUGCCAACAAGGUCAAGGAGUUCUGCGAGAACCUUCCAGAAGACAGCAGAGAGACCAUUAUCAUGACUCACAUUCUGCCCUGUGUCAAGGAACUGGUGUCUGACACCAACCAGCAUGUGAAGUCUGCCCUGGCCUCUGUUAUCAUGGGCUUGUCCACUAUCCUGGGCAAAGACAACACAGUGGAGCACCUGCUGCCUCUGUUCCUGGCCCAGCUCAAGGACGAGUGCCCUGAGGUGCGCCUCAACAUCAUCUCCAACCUGGACUGUGUCAACGAGGUGAUCGGCAUCCGCCAGCUCUCCCAGUCGCUGCUGCCUGCUAUCGUGGAGCUGGCCGAGGACGCCAAGUGGAGGGUCCGCCUGGCCAUCAUCGAGUAUAUGCCCCUGUUGGCCGGACAGCUGGGAGUGGAGUUCUUUGACGAGAAGCUGAACACCCUCUGCAUGGCAUGGCUCAUUGACCACGUAUACGCUAUCCGCGAGGCAGCCACCUGUAACCUUAUGAAGCUGGUGGAGAAGUUUGGAGCCGAGUGGGCCCAGAACACCAUCGUGCCCAAGGUGCUGGGCAUGGCCAACGACCCCAACUACCUGCACAGGAUGACCACGCUCUUCUGCAUCAACGUGAGUCCUCCUGACAAGUACACCACACACAAACCCUCAGACACUAGGCGUAUAAUACGAUGGAAGCUAGAUCUACUCAGGUUUUUAUAUAAAGCUAGUCAUAUUACCAAGGUGGAUAUUGAUCAUGUAGCUGCCUCCAUCUCAAGCAGGCUUGUAACUUUGCAUGCAUGUCGCACAUGGCUAGUUGAACGCCGAACUAUUCGAGUUGACGCUGAACCAUCAAUCCAUGGGAGAGUCGGUGACAACUUUUGCUGAAAUCAACAUGAAAGAGAAGCUCUUGCAAAUUUCGCAGGCUAUGGUAUAAAGUAGGAUAUUAAAGUGCAUUUUUUUAUUGCAUAUCUGUAAUGCAGACUUUGGGGUGCUUAUCAAUGCACAAAUAGCUGUUUUGCCCCCCCCCCAUCUAUAAAAUAAUGGUAUUAUGUCAUAUAAACCUUUUACUAUGCGUGAACUUUCUUAUGCUUGCUGUCAUUACUAAAUGUUUAGUGAGAUGGGUUUUUUAAUAUGACUAUAACACAUUUCAUUCAUAAAACGUGUGAUCAUUCGUCUCUCACAAAUGAAGUGAAUGAUGACGCAAACUUUGCGAAAGGGAUGGAAUCUGAUUUCAUUGGUCCUCACCUCGCAGCUCAGUCAUUUCAUUCAGGGUAAGUGGAGUUAGUGGCCUGCCUUGGAGCAGGUUAGUUCUGAAGGAUCAGUUGCCAUAGAAAUGGCUAAAAGGUGAGCCACUUUCGUAUGACCAGUUAUCCCGAUUUGAACCCUGAAUUGAUCAAAGUUACCUCGCUUACGCUUCUAACCUGAUUCGUAGUAUAGGGUUGAUCUCCUUAAACCUUAGAUGGAUUUAAACCAAGUCAUUUUUGGCCAACAUUUUACUCCUAAAACAAUUAUACUUUUUUAGCAGGUACCUUACUGUCCCCGUCAUUUAUUCUGGUAAUUUAUCAUGAUUUUAAAUCUGAUAUUUUAGGCGUUUAUCAGAUGCUCUUAUCCAGAGUAAUUUAGUCACUUGUGUCUAACGAUCAUUUGUUUAUGCAUUGUUGGUUUUUAUGCCAUCCACCCCAGGCUCUGUCUGAGGUCUGUGGCCAGGACAUCACCACUAAGCAGAUGCUGCCUGUGGUCCUCAAGAUGUCCAAUGACCAGGUGGCCAACGUGCGCUUCAAUGUGGCCAAGUCCCUCCAGAAGAUCGGCCCCGUCCUUGACAGCAAUGCUCUGCAGACAGAGGUGAAACCAGUCCUGGAGAAACUAGACACAGACACCGAUAUGGAUGUUAAGUACUUUGCCCAGGAAGCUAUAAGCGUUCUGGCCCUGGCAUAAACCAACCCAAGCUUGGCUAUCCAGAGGAAACAACAACCCAAGAUGUCGUGACAUUGCAAACACUUCACAAUAUAUUUAUUGAUGUUCAAGAGCAACUGGUGAUGUACGGAGACUUAAUGGAGCCUAUUAACACCUAUUUGUCUUUUUUUUUCUUCUUUACUCUCAGAGAUAAUAAAAUGUCCAGGAAAAGCACAGGCUUCUAAUUUCCCCUCGCUGUAACUCUUUUGCUUCUCCAAGUGUGAUGAAACAUGCAUUUAAGCAUUGCAUGCUGACCACUGUGCAUAAGUAGCAUUGCUGGUUUGACCCACACAUUCCUCUCCUACAUACAUAGCCACUGACUAGCGUUACUAUUAGCACGGCCCCAUUCGCUGCCACAUUUCUCUGUACGAAACACCCAGAACACGCGAGCCAGCUCUUGGUUGCAUGUCCAAGUGCUAGACAGAUGCUAUUGCUGCAGCAGAUGGUGAGGAAGGCUGUUUUAUUUGCUCGUGAAGAACUGCUAGGCUAAGGCACACGCAUAUUUUGUUUACAUGUGCUGCCCCCCCCCCCCCCCCCGGAUGUUCCUCGUGUAUUCAUAAAAGCAGUUUGCGCAACACUCCAUCCUCGCUUUCUGUCCUGCGCAGGUGUUCUGUGUGUGUGUAAUAUGAAUUACAGUUGAAUUUGUCUGAGAAAUGAGUAAUACACACCGUGUUCUAUCGAAAUGUGAAGGGAUACUUUGGGAUUUUUGGCAAUUGCCCUUUAUCUACUUCCCCAGAGUUAGAUGAACUUGGGGAUACCAUUUUUAUGUCUCGAUGUCUAGUACAAAGGAAGUUAGAGGUAGUUUCGUGAGCAUUCGUUAACUAACGCUAGUUAGCAAUUAAGCCUGUAGUAGUUAGUAACUUCCUUCAAACUGCAUGCAGAGCCAUACAUAUGGUAUCCACAUGUUCAUCUGACUGGGGAAGUAGAUAGAGGGACCUCAUUGCCCAAAUCAUGAAGUGUCCCAUUAGUAAUGGGGACCACCACCACCCAUCAUUUGAUUUAUUAUAGAUUCGUUUAUGUAUUCAGUUCAUCACUGGUGUUAUUUCUUUUUCUGAGUCAUUUGUUUGACACAGCAUUGGGUGUAAUUGUUCAAUCUCUCUUGCUCUUAAUCUUUGUGCCAAUUACUGAUGAGCAAUGUUGUUUUUUUAGUAAGCUUUCGUAAGGUUUAGCUCUUGAUUGCCCUAAUUUUAUGUUGUAAUGAUGUUUUGUGUUCUCUAAAGACAAGGCAUCACUCCUCACGGGUUGUCAUUCAGUCAGUUGAACAAGGCUGACCACUGAAGCUAAAAGGGCGGGGAGCACUGAGAAUAGCAGGGCUCUGUGUGUGGGUGGUUGUAUAAUAUAAUAUGGGAAGGGUGUGUGUGAAUGAUUUGGUCGAAUACAGUCAAAAGAAACUUGUCUGUCCCUCCUGUCUCCCUCCCCAUUUUCUCAUCGGUCUCUUAAAUAAACAAACCUUGAUUGGCCCAUAACAUUUA